UUUGGUGGGUUAAUCAUGUGUUCUAUUGAGAAAAUAGAUCUUAUUUUUUCCCUACAAGAAUCGGCCGAGAAAGAUUCGGUUAAUAUAGGCUGGAUCAGAUCUUAUAUAUUAUAAUACUAAAAAUUCUAUUUCCAAUUCAGAUCUAGGGCGAUUAUCCAAAUAGGCUCUUAUAAUUCAUUUCUUCUGUUUUAGGGCAAUACUGAAAAUGGCAGCUUCCGCACGCCCUUUCUGUGCCUCUGAAUUAUCGGGUCGGGUUUGUAAUUUAACGGACCGGACUCGAAUUCCUGGAUCGGCUCCAAUCCGAUCCGUUUAAGGGCUUAAUCGUGGAACCGCUAGUACUCUCAGCCCUUCCUCUCUUUUCCUAGGUGCUGCAGCGACCGGCGAUUUUUUCAGACCAAGAAGGAAGCGGCAAUGGCGGUACUUGAAGAUGGGAGAGCUUCUGAGAAGAGAUCAGGCGACGAUGGC